GCGUGCGGGGAGGGGUGGCGGUCACGUGGUCAGGGAGCCGAGCGCUGGGGCGUAGGGGACCGCGGCUUGGAACUCCGGACGGCUGCAAGCCUGCUCAGGCUGCUUGUCUUCAUCGCCUUCUUUCGCUGUGCGCGGACCACACGGUGGAACUGUAGCGGCGAAAGCGACUGAGGUCUGGGCGCAAUUAUCUGUAACCUCCUGGCGACCCUGCAAGAAGACGCGUUAUUACAAGAUACUGAAUAUAGUUCCCUGCUCUAUACAGGGAACACAAGUAAGAAUGGAGGGUGCUCUUCCCCCCGCCCCACCCCGAAGGUAACAAAGGAUCAAGGUUUUCUCCGUGAAAUAGCCGCAGAAUGUAAACUGAGGCUGCUGGCAUUUCCCUGAGAGUUUUACUGGCUCAGCUCAAGAACCACCUCCUCCAAGUUGUCUUCCUGGAUUUACUCAGCCUAAAGUAAUCCUUCUUUUUCCUAGGGACGACUACACCUCUUCACGGGAAUUCUCGGAUCCUUGAAACAACACUUUAAGGGCUCAGCACAAUGGACAUAGAAACAGCAGAGGUCGAUGACUGCAUUGAUCCAAAUUUGGAAGUUGUGUGGCAGUCUGUGAAAAAUGGAAUCCUGCCAACAACCAUGUGACUGAACUUGGAAGCAGACCCUUCCCAGUAGAGCCUUCGGAUGAGGUGACAUCCCUGGCCAGUGCCUUCACUGCGGGCUUGCGAGAGGCCCUGAAGCAGAAGACCCAGCUAAGCCACGCCUGGAUUCCUGAAAACCAGACUGCUCUCUGCCAGGAUCUCUGGAGCCUCGCAUUGGUCAAUGCCCCUGAAGAGGGCAGAGUCCAGCCUCAGGCCUCUAGCCCACCCUCUUCCUGGGAAG